rnacentral:rRNA from 1 species
UACAGAGGUGGCAAGCGUUGUUCGGAAUUACUGGGCGCAAAGGGCGCGUAGGCGGUCUUGCAAGUCCUGUGUGAAAUCCCUCGGCUCAACUGAGGAACUGCACAGGAAACUGCUUGGCUUGAGUUCGGGAGAGGGAAGCGGAAUUCCGGGUGUAGCGGUGGAAUGCGUAGAUAUCGUUUGGAACGCCGACGGCGAAAGCAGCUGACUGGGAGUGAUCUGACGCUGAGACACGAAAGCCAGGGGAGCGAACGGG